GGGGAUGUAGCUCAGUGGUAGACUGCAUGCUUUGCAUGUGUGAAGACUUGGGUUCAGGUCCCAUCUUCUCCA
rnacentral:tRNA from 1 species